AUGACUGCAUGUGUAAUUCUACACAAUAUGUUCAUCGAGGAUGAGAUGGAUUUAAACUUAGUUUUCUAUGACAAUAUUGGUAGUCGUGUCAAGCCUACCAGAAACCCAUAUGUGAUCAAUGCAUUUCUUGAGACCUACCGGCAGAUUGAAGACCGUGACAAACACAGGCAGCUACACAACGAUCCCAUCGAGUAUCAGUGGCAAAUGUACGGGCAAUAG
rnacentral:rRNA from 1 species